rnacentral:lncRNA from 1 species
CUUAACCACUGAGCCACCCAGACAUCCUUGCAUGGCACAACUUUAAAGUCAUAAUAGUUAAUUCCUCCUGAGCAUAGCCAUUCCUAAUACAGAGAGACAAUUAUUGGUCAACUUCUCACCUGGUAGUCAUUCAGCCACAAUAGGGAAAAGGUGCGUCUUCUCACCCAGUGAUCCAGAUAUCUGGGUUACUUAAUGGCCGUCCCUAUCUACACUUAUUUAUUCUUCACGGAUAAAUAGAAGUCAACCAUUUAAAUUAUUUGUUAUAGUUUUGCAAAAGUGGACAUUCUAAAUGAGAAUGUUUAAUUCUCCAUAAAUUAGCACUGUCUUUUGAAAUUUGACAGGUGUGGGCUGCAAGUCUACAGCAGGCAAGUUCAAACACAUCUGAUGGUAAAGCUAACUAUUGAAGAGUAUUAUUUGAAAUGUUUUUUUUUAAAUACUGAUGACAGAUCAGGCAGUGAUAUAGGUCAUGCAUUAUACUCUAAAUACAGUGUGACAGAGAUUCCAAGAAUCCCUGAGAAUCCACACGUUUCAUGGGUAUUUUUGCUGUGGUGGUGGUUCUUGGUAAUCUUAUUUAUUUUUUAUAUUUAAAAUAUUUUUAGAUUUAAUCUAGACAAACUAAAAAUGUUAAUUUUACAUUAGAAAGUAAGAAAGAGCACAUAGGUUUUACCAGACUUCCAAAAGGAUAUAUAAUGAGAAAAAUGGUUAAAAACCCCUGAACUAGGCAUUGCCAGGACCCUGAACAUCCAUGUGCAUUUGCUAGAAACAUCUGUUACAGAUGGAAUGCACAAAUGUUAACUGGUCACAGUCAUGUUCAGUCACCUCUUCAACUCUACCCUUAACCAAGGAGAAAGAUUUCUCUGUAUUAGACUCUACUGUGAUCGGCAUCAAGAAAAGAUAAAGAACAUGACUUUUUAAUAAGAAGCAAAAGUGCACACUUUCACCUGUUAAAGACCUAGAGGUUGAUGAUGAGUUAGAGGUUUUGGAGAUUGGGAAGCAAACUGUAACUUCUUAGUGAGUGACUCAAUAAAUUACCAUUAAUUUUUCUAGAAAUUGGUUGGCUCUUCCACCUGCAAUAUGCAAAGUGAAUUAAAAUCUUGCCUGUUAUUACUGAAUCUAUUUCCCUCAGUUAAGUACAAUAUGAAUGUAUAUUUAGAAACACUGCAACACCUUCCAGUUUCAAAGAAAGCUAUGUGGGGCUUCUAGGCUAAAAUCAGGCAUGGCAGAAGAAAGCGACACUCAGUGAAGACCCAUGUUUCUCAACGCUGUUGUCCCAACAUUUAGAAACACCCCUGGCAUAAAAACAAUGCUGUCACUUGGGGAAAUCUUGUUCUCUUUUUUUUAACACCAAAAGCCAGAUUCAGCCCACAAUUUAAUAUUGUCAAUACAUUUUCUUCAUUACACAACUGGCACGCCAACUGUUACCUAAGCACUUCACUCUUCAAAUCCCACACCCACACAUUCUGAACUCAUCUGCACCCAGAUAUGAAUAAAGAUGAAUAGCAUCUUGAGGAAAUAGCUUCUCCAUUCUCAAAUGGCAAAAGCUAUGGAGCAAACACCCCACGGUACCUGAGGGAUUUCUCAGAGGAACAAGAAAGAAAGAACCCUGAAGCCACCAUUUUGUCAGGAAGAUCACAUCCUUCCAUGGCUACUUGCCCAUUGGGGAAUCUGAAGUCCAAAGGGACAUCAGAAAUCCUUUUCAAUAUUGAGGUUCUGUGACUUUCUUAUAAAGAGAGGACUUUUUUUUUAUUUUACUAAAUUUCAGAUAAUUAGGUUUUGGUAGGUCAGCAGCCCAACUCCGCAUCUCUUUAUGGGGAAUGGUUCUAGGAGACCUUGAUGAAAUUGCAAAUGCUUGGAAAUAGUCACUUGCUUGCAUGCUGGGUAAAUAGGAAAGCAUGCUGACUGUAUUUAUUUUACUAUCAUUAUGUCUCCAUGGGGUGGGCUAGUAAAAAAGUGCAAGCUGUUAACAGCUUGGUAUAUACAUACACACAUGCCCCACACACACUGUAUACUCUAAAAGAAUUUAUUUUUCCUUCAUCUCAAACCGUGACUGCAGAAAAUCCCCAAUACUCAAGUGAAUUGUUUUCCAAAUGUUUAUAAAUGGGAUGUUUUGUCAGUCUGUUCAUUAGUGUUCGUUCAUUUGACAAGUUGUUAAUGAAUGCCUACUAUGUGCCAGGCUGGUGGUGAACAUUACAGACAGUGGUAUAAACACAGGCACGUCUUUGCUCAAAGAAAUGUUUCACAAGGUGGCUAGGUGCCCAGACUAACCUAUAGUAACCUCCCAUAUUAAGCAUCUUGGGCUGCAGUAACAAAAUACCACAGGCAAGGUGCCAGCAUGGCCAAUAUCUUGUGAGAGAUCUCUCCUUGGGUUGUAGAUGGCCUUGUUCUUGCUGUAUCCUUAUGAGACCAUUCUUCAGGGGAUGUGGAUGGAAAGAGAAGAGGCAAACUCUCUGGGAUCUCUUCUUACAAGGGCACUGAUCCCAUGAUGAAGGGCCCACCUUCCUGACCUCACCUAAACCAAAUUACCUCCCAGAGCCCCUAUCUCCAAGCACAGUCACAUUAGGGGUCGGGGCUUCAAUACUGCUUUAAUAUCAAAUGUGCUGUGUCACCUAUAAUGUUGAUUCAAUAGCCCUAAGUUUCAAAUGGUUGAUGGUUUCAAAUCCAUCAGAUGGUUUCAAAUCCAUCUCAGAAGAAUACGACUUUGGUUCCUCCGUGAUUUGGCCUCUGCAGGGACCCCAGACACCAACAGAGGGUGAGAACCACAGUAACAUCAUACACCUCAGUCCUGAGGACCCAGGUGGUUUGGGGUUUAGAGGAGAGUAAAAUAAGUUUUGAGGCUCAGGUCAGCAUCUAAAGCAGAAAUCAUUAAAAUCUCUACAGUGAAAUCAAAAUCCAGAAAUGUUAUGCUUUUAAAAAUCAGGUGUCCUUACUUCAAAGCCUGCCUGCCUCUUCGAAGCAUCUUAUGAUCAAGUUCAAUCAGCCAACACAGCAAAACAAAUAAAAAUAACACAAAAUCAGAAUAACAGCAAGAUUCAAUGUAUUAUACCAGGCCUGAGGCUUUCAAAAAGCUGCAUUCACAGAGUACUCCUAACCAGGCCUGAGGAAGUAGGCUAGCUGCAUGUUGGCUCCUCUGCUGUGGGAAAGCCAACAUCCAUUCAGCCCCAUCCCUCAACAGGAAAGGAUUUGACUCUUCCAAGGUUUGAUCAUUUCCUUAAAAGCUUGUUCAAAGCCAGCCUGGAAUGGACAGGGAUCGAUGAGAAGAAAUUCCAGAAAUCCUCUGAUGAAAAUUGUGUGCAGCUGACUUCCUUCCAGACAAGCCUCUGCUACCUCAAAGAAACAACCAGCACAUAGCACAGAGGUGGAACGCGCCUUUCCCCAUGGUCCGGAAUCCAUGCAGAAGCAAUCAAUAACUUUUAGCUGUAUCUCUGACAUACACACUUCCAAAAUGGAAUGUCAAGCUCCCUCACGUUUUUCAUAGAACGAAGGGAAUAAAACACUCCUACAUUUCUCUUCCCCCAUCUAGUGUCAAAAUUGAAAAGGCAGGUAAGGACAUUCAGGUACCUUUGGGUGACUUGACUCACUCUUGGGGCUGUACCGAAUUGUGUAUGGCUUUGCCACAGCACAGAGGGUCUGGGAAUAUGUCUAAUGCGGGUCUGGUUCUUUGCAGGGGCUUUUAUUUCCAUAGUCCAAAAGGCUCCUCACAGCAAGUUACAUAGGACAAGAAAUAUGACAGCCAUUUGGCAGGCACCAGGGGCUCAGAGAGUGGAAGGGACUCUCACCUUUGGUCACACAGCUAAUGACAGAACCCUAUUCAAAAUCAGGAAUUCCAAGUGCAGAUUUUAUCAUCUUCAUACCAGCUUGGGAACUAGAUCUCCAUUCUUCUGCAGGAGGCUGGGUAGAGCCUGCGGAUGUGUUCUGUGUUUUGUUUUGUUCUGUUUUUAAUUGAAUUAGUUCAACCAUUAAACAUCAGGAGCUUUCACAUAAAAAAUCUGGAUUCUUGACUUUUUUUUUGGGGAAAACCAAACAA